rnacentral:piRNA from 1 species
UGGAGUCAACCUGGAUUAUGAUGGAC